ACACAGCUCCCAGAGUCCUCUGUCCUUCUGUCCCCUUGUUGAUGCUGCAUUAUAUUGUCUAUCUGUCUGAGUAAAUAACAACUGUCUGAUGAACUGAGCGACACUUACAACCUGAGCUUCCCCUCCUCUCUCUCUUGCUGUGCGUUGUGGGUGUGGUCUUCUUCAGAGUUUUGAAAUCUUAUCGUGAUGAAGAGAAGAGUGCUUCUCCAGAGAAAUACUCAGUAGGGGAGUGUGUGGAUUCGGAGAGAACGGGUGUCAACAGCUCAGCCGCAGCCAGCUGUCCCAAAACAGGCAGUGAGAAGCUACCCAACGGUCCUCUGGAGGAAAUGUCGGCCAGCGAGGAGGCCAAGGAGUGUAAAAGGCGUAAGGACCAAAAUGCAGACACUCAUAGCAG